rnacentral:tRNA from 1 species
GUUUCCGUGGUGUGGUGGUUAUCACAUCCGCCUAACACGCGGAGGGCCCCCGGUUCAAUCCCGGGCUGAAACA